CCUACGGGGGGCUGCAGCUAAGAAUAUUCCGCAAUGGACGAAAGUCUGACGGAGCGACGCCGCGUGGAUGAAGAAGGCCGAAAGGUUGUAAAAUCCUUUUGUUGGGGAAGAAUAAGCGUGGGAGGGAAUGCCCGCGUGAUGACAUGAACCGACGAAUAAGUCCCGGCUAACUACGUGCCAGCAGCCGCGGUAACACGUAGGGGACAAGCGUUAUUCGGAAUUACUGGGCGUAAAGGGCAUGUAGGCGGCUUUGUAAGCAUGGCGUGAAAGUCACC
rnacentral:rRNA from 1 species